CUUUGUGUUUCCGAGUUUGUAACUUCUGACACUGCCGAACUUGAGCCCACCUCUAGUGAAGGCAUCUAUGAACCAAACAUGGAAGGAAUUAUUGCAAGCAACAAAGAUUGACUGUUUACCAUACACAGGAAAUGCUUUAA